rnacentral:rRNA from 1 species
UACGGAGGGCGCAAGCGUUGUUCGGAAUCAUUGGGCGUAAAGAGCGUGUAGGCGGUUUGGUAAGUCGGGUGUGAAAGCCCGGGGCCUAACCCCGGAGGGUCAUUCGAAACUGCCAAGCUAGAGUCCCGGAGAGGGUGGCGGAAUUCCCAGUGUAGAGGUGAAAUUCGUAGAUAUUGGGAAGAACACCGGCGGCGAAGGCGGCCACCUGGACGGUGACUGACGCUGAGACGCGAAAGCGUGGGGAGCAAACAGG